rnacentral:rRNA from 1 species
UAAUAUUUAUUAUAGUUUAGUAAAAAAAAUAUUUUUUAUAUUAGUAUUGUUAGAGAAUAUAGUUGAUAAAUGAUAGUGUAAUAGUAUAGUGAUAGAAUAUUAAAAUAGAUGAAAUUGAUAUUGAUUAAAAGAAAAGUUAAUUUUUUGUACCUUGUGUAUCAGGGUUUAUUAAAAAUAGUUAAGGAUUUAGUUUUCUCGAAUUAUUAAGAGCUAAUAUUAUAUAUAUUUGAUUGUAACAUAAAUCUUUAUAAUAUAAUAUUAGAAAUGAAACGUUAGUCGUUUAUUAAGAUAUCUAGUUUUUUAAGAAAUAAAUUUAAUUUAGUUAUUUGAAUGUUUUAUAUUAAUUGGUUAGUAUGAAAUUUCAAGUAUGCAAUAUUUUAAGGGAUAAGCUUUAAGAUAUAUUAUUAUAAUAAAGUUAUUUUUAGAAUAAAUAUUAGUAGGAUUGAAAGUUUUUAUCUUUAGUGUGUUAUAAUUAAUUUUUAUUUGUAUAAGAUUUAUAUGUUGUUUAAAUAGUUUAUUAAAAUGUGUUAUUUAAUUUUAUUUUGUAAGUAAUAAUGGUAGAAUUAGUAUAAUUAGUUGUGUAAUUAAGUUGUAGAGGAUAGGUUAAGUUAAGGAACUCGGCAAAUAUAUUUUUCGCCUGUUUAUUAAAAACAUGUCUUUUUGAUUAUAAUUUAAAGUCUGGCCUGCCCAAUGAGGAGUUGAAUGGCCGCGGUAUUUUGACCGUGCAAAGGUAGCAUAAUCAUUAGUUUUUUAAUUGGAAGCUGGUAUGAAUGGUCGGACGAGAGAAUAACUGUCUCAGUUUAAUUUAAUUAGAAUUUUAUUUUUAAGUUAAAAAGCUUAAAUGAGUUUAAAAGACGAGAAGACCCUAUAGAGUUUUAUAUAUUAUAUAAUAUAAAGGUAUAAGAAUAAAUGGUUUUAUAUUAUAGGGUGUAUUUUGUUGGGGUGACAGAAAAAUUGAAUUAACUUUUUUUAUAUUAAAUCAUUAAUGUAUGAGUGAAUGAUCCGUUGAUAACGAUUAUAAGAUUAAAUUACCUUAGGGAUAACAGCGUAAUUUUUUUUGAGAGUUCUAAUCGAAAGAAGAGUUUGCGACCUCGAUGUUGGAUUAAAAUUAAUUUUUGGUGUAGAAGCUAAAAUAUUAGGUCUGUUCGACCUUUGAAAUUUUACAUGAUCUGAGUUUAAACCGGCGUGAGCCAGGUUGGUUUCUAUCUUUAAAUAGUUUAAAUAUUUUAGUACGAAAGGACCAAGUAUUUAUAAUAGUUAUUUUUUAUUGAAUAUGAUU